UUUGUCUUUAUGGCAAAUGUGAGAUGCAGUGUAUGGAAUGUCAAAUUUCUAAUAUGAGAAAUUAACGAUUUAAGUCCUUCUUAAAUGAGGCCAUUUACCCAUAGAGGGUGCCAGGCCCGUAUAACGUUAAUGAUUAUUAGAUGAUAUUUCCAAAGAGUCGUGUUGCUUGAUAGUGCAGCACUAAGUGGGUGGUAAACUCCAUCUAAAACUAAAUAUAACCAUGAGACCGAUAGCAAACAAGUACCGUGAGGGAAAGUUGAAAAGAACUCUGAAUAGAGAGUUAAAUAGUACGUGAAACUGCUUAGAGGUUAAGCCCGAUGAACCUGAAUAUCCAUUAUGGAAAAUUCAUCAUUAUGAUUUUAAUAUUUUGAUAAUAGUGUGCAUUUUUUCCAUAAGAGGACAUUGUAAUUUAUUAAUAUACUAAUUUAUCAUAAGAUCAAGGCAAAGUUUAUUCAGAUUAUUUUUACUAUUUUAUAUAGUAUUUAUAACAUAGAAUAAAUGCUUUUUGAUUUGAUAAAGUAUUUGAUAAUUUUAUAUAGUGCUUAAAUAAUAUUUUAUAAUAGCAUAUUAAUCAUUGAUUUUUAUGUUUUUUUAUAUGCACUUAUAUGAUUAACAAUGCGAAAGAUUCAGGAUACCUUCGGGACCCGUCUUGAAACACGGACCAAGGAGUCUAACAUAUUUGCAAGUUAUUGGGUAAAACCUAAUAGCGAAAUUAACAUAACAUGAUGGGAUUAGUUUUUAGUUAGAUAUAUACCUAUUAAUUCAAUCCCGGGGCGUUCUAUACAGUUAUGUGCAAUAAUAUUUUAUAUUAUUUGUAUCUCUAACUAGAGCGUACCUUGAGCAUAUAUGCUGUGACCCGAAAGAUGGUGAACUAUACUUGAUCAGGUUGAAGUCAGGGGAAACCCUGAUGGAAGACCGAAACAGUUCUGACGUGCAAAUCGAUUGUCAGAAUUGAGUAUAGGGGCGAAAGACCAAUCGAACCAUCUAGUAGCUGGUUCCCUCCGAAGUUUCCCUCAGGAUAGCUGGUGCAUUUAAAAUUUAUGUAAAAUAAUCUUAUCUGGUAAAGCGAAUGAUUAGAGGCCUUAGGGUCGAAACGAUCUUAACCUAUUCUCAAACUUUAAAUGGGUAAGAACCUCACCUUUCUUGGUAUGAAGGUCGUGGUUGUGAUAUAAUGUGCCCAGUGGGCCACUUUUGGUAAGCAGAACUGGCGCUGUGGGAUGAACCAAACGUAAUGUUACGGUGCCCAAAUUAACAACUCAUACAGAUACCAUGAAAGGCGUU
rnacentral:rRNA from 1 species